rnacentral:rRNA from 1 species
AUUGAACGCUGGCGGCAGGCCUAACACAUGCAAGUCGAACGAGCGGCGGACGGGUGAGUAAUGUAUGGGAAACUGCCUGAUGGAGGGGGAUAACUACUGGAAACGGUAGCUAAUACCGCAUACCAUCAGAUGUGCCCAGAUGGGAUUAGCUAGUUGGUGGGGUAACGGCUCACCAAGGCGACGAUCUCUAGCUGGUCUGAGAGGAUGACCAGCCACACUGGAAAUGUGACACGGUCCAAACUCCUACGGGAGGCCGCAGUGGGGAAUAUUGCACGAUGGGCGCAAGCCUGAUGCAGCCAUGCCGCGUGUAUGAAGAAGUCCUUCGGGUUGUAAAGUACUUUCAGUCGGGAGGCGUUACCGGCAGAAGAAGCACCGGCUAACUCCGUGCCAGCAGCCGCGGUAAUAC